rnacentral:rRNA from 1 species
GAACGCUGGCGGCAUGCCUUACACAUGCAAGUCGAACGGCAGCAUGGGUGCUUGCACCUGAUGGCGAGUGGCGAACGGGUGAGUAAUGCAUCGGAACGUACCCGGAAGUGGGGGAUAACGUAGCGAAAGUUACGCUAAUACCGCAUAUUCUGUGAGCAGGAAAGCAGGGGAUCGCAAGACCUUGCGCUGAUUGAGCGGCCGAUAUCAGAUUAGCUAGUUGGUGAGGUAAAGGCUCACCAAGGCGACGAUCUGUAGCGGGUCUGAGAGGAUGAUCCGCCACACUGGAACUGAGACACGGUCCAGACUCCUACGGGAGGCAGCAGUGGGGAAUUUUGGACAAUGGGGGCAACCCUGAUCCAGCCAUGCCGCGUGAGUGAAGAAGGCCUUCGGGUUGUAAAGCUCUUUCGGCCGGGAAGAAAUCGCGCCAGUUAAUACCUGGUGUGGAUGACGGUACCGGAAUAAGAAGCACCGGCUAACUACGUGCCAGCAGCCGCGGUAAUACGUAGGGUGCGAGCGUUAAUCGGAAUUACUGGGCGUAAAGCGUGCGCAGGCGGUUUUGUAAGACAGGCGUGAAAUCCCCGGGCUCAACCUGGGAACUGCGCUUGUGACUGCAUCACUCGAGUACGGCAGAGGGGGGUGGAAUUCCACGUGUAGCAGUGAAAUGCGUAGAGAUGUGGAGGAACACCGAUGGCGAAGGCAGCCCCCUGGGCCGAUACUGACGCUCAUGCACGAAAGCGUGGGUAGCAAACAGGAUUAGAUACCCUGGUAGUCCACGCCCUAAACGAUGUCAACUAG